rnacentral:misc_RNA from 1 species
GUGUUCCCUGCCCUCACGGGUAGAAACGCCCACCCUUGUAUAAUAUAUCUUGUUGCUUUGGCAGGCCGCCCUCGGGCACCGGCUCCGGCUGGAUCGUGCCUGCCAGAGGACCCAAAACCCUGAAUAUUAGUGUCGUCUGAGUAAAAAGUUUAAUAUUUAAAACUUUCAACAACGGAUCUCUUGGCUCU